rnacentral:lncRNA from 1 species
UUUGGCAGAGAUACGCCUGUCGGUUGUUGGAUCUCGCCAGAAUCACCUAUGGCUUGAAAAAUCCACCGCCCCAUUCCUUCCUCAACUUUGAGACUCGCUUAUCCAAUAUUAUAAUUUAAAGACAUCUGUUAUCUGCUUUGUGCUUAAGAGAAAAUUUCAUAUUUUUUGGUUCCUUUUGCUAUUCUUAAAGGAAGCUGGUUCCCUCCAAGCCUAAGGCAGGGUUUAUACAGUCGGGAAGCUAAGAGAAGUGAAACGGGGGGUCUCCACAAUCUUUGAAGAAAUCGCAAAGCCAAUUCCCCCGAGGAAAAUGUUUUCUCUUUGGUGUUUGGCUGUUUUUUAAGGAGCCCUCUUUGGCUUUUCCCGUGGUCCAUAGGCCCAGCAAUCCAGGGCUAGCGGUCCUCUGGGCCUUCUUCUCUGUCCCAGGCCCUGUGAUAUUUAUUGUAGUUAAAGGCAAUGAGAUUGGGUGGGAGAAGAGGGUCUGGAGAGGUGGGAAUUGGGUGGGCAAGGGCACAGAGCUCUGGCAGCGGGUCCUAUAGUUAUGUGUAAAUAUCUGUACAGCGGGCUGACCCCUUCCCCCGCAUUCUCUGUCCACUGGUGUGCAUUGAUUUAGACUUCUCCACUUAGCGGAGACUCUGUGAAAUCGUCUGAUGGUCUGUGUGGAAGAAAAAAAAACUGUCUCCCUCUUCCUCUUCAUUGGUGUCUAUUGAAUAAAUGUAUGUGAACUU